rnacentral:rRNA from 1 species
CGGUGGCGGACGGGUGAGUAACGCGUAAAGAAUUUACCCUUCAGACUGGGACAACUAAUCGAAAGGUUAGCUAAUACCGGAUAUUAUGAGACCUUGGCAUCAAGGACUUAUGAAAGCUAUAUGCGCUGGAGGAGAACUUUGCGUUCCAUUAGCUAGUUGGUAGGGUAAUGGCCUACCAAGGCAACGAUGGAUAGCCGGCCUGAGAGGGUGAACGGCCACAAGGGGACUGAGACACGGCCCUUACUCCUACGGGAGGCAGCAGUGGGGAAUAUUGGACAAUGGACCAAAAGUCUGAUCCAGCAAUUCUGUGUGCACGAUGAAGGUCUUCGGAUUGUAAAGUGCUUUCAGGUGGGAAGAAGAAAGUGACGGUACCACCAGAAGAAGCGACGGCUAAAUACGUGCCAGCAGCCGCGGUAAUACGUAUGUCGCAAGCGUUAUCCGGAAUUAUUGGGC